rnacentral:rRNA from 1 species
UACGGAGGGGGCUAGCGUUGUUCGGAAUUACUGGGCGUAAAGCGCACGUAGGCGGCGAUUUAAGUCAGAGGUGAAAGCCCGGGGCUCAACCCCGGAACUGCCUUUGAGACUGGAUUGCUUGAACAUCGGAGAGGGAUGCAGAAUUCCAGGUGUAGCGGUGAAAUGCGUAGAUAUCUGGAGGAAUACCGGUGGCGAAGGCGGCAUCCUGGACCGGCAUUGACGCUGAGGAGCGAAAGCUAGGGGAGCAAACGGG